rnacentral:rRNA from 1 species
AUUGAACGCUGGCGGAAUGCUUUACACAUGCAAGUCGAACGGUAGAGGGGCAACCCUUGAGAGUGGCGAACGGCUGAGUAAUGUAUCGGAACGUGCCCAGUCGUGGGGGAUAACGUAGCGAAAGUUACGCUAAUACCGCAUACGAUCUAUGGAUGAAAGCGGGGGAUCGCAAGACCUCGCGCGAUUGGAGCGGUCGAUAUCAGAUUAGGUAGUUGGUGGGGUAAAGGCCUACCAAGCCGACGAUCUGUAGCUGGGCUGAGAGGACGACCAGCCACACUGGGACUGAGACACGGCCCAGAGUCCUACGGGAGGCAGCAGUGGGGAAUUUUGGACAAUGGACGAAAGUCUGAUCAAGCCAUUCCGCGUGCAGGAUGAAGGCCUUCGGGUUGUAAACUGCUUUUGUACGGAACGAAAAGGUUUGACUUAAUACGUUGGACUCAUGACGGUACCGUAAGAAUAAGCACCGGCUAACUACGUGCCAGCCGCCGCCGUAACAC